rnacentral:rRNA from 1 species
AGUGAACGCUGGCGGUAGGCCUAACACAUGCAAGUCGAACGGCAGCACAGUAAGAGCUUGCUCUUACGGGUGGCGAGUGGCGGACGGGUGAGGAAUACAUCGGAAUCUACUUUUUCGUGGGGGAUAACGUAGGGAAACUUACGCUAAUACCGCAUACGACCUACGGGUGAAAGCAGGGGAUCUUCGGACCUUGCGCGAUUGAAUGAGCCGAUGUCGGAUUAGCUAGUUGGCGGGGUAAAGGCCCACCAAGCCGACGAUCCGUAGCUGGUCUGAGCGGAUGAUCAGCAACACUGGAACUGAGACACGGUCCAGACUCCUACGGGAGGCAGCAGUGGGGAAUAUUGGACAAUGGGCGCAAGCCUGAUCCAGCCAUACCGCGUGGGUGAAGAAGGCCUUCGGGUUGUAAAGCCCUUUUGUUGGGAAAGAAAAGCAGCAGGUUAAUACCCCGCUGUUCUGACGGUACCCAAAGAAUAAGCACCGGCUAACUUCGUG